CACUUAUCAACAUUAACAUUCACAUUUCUGCAACUCUUAUCCUCUUAUCUUAGACGCAUACGACUACUUCAGUGCCCAACACUUAAUUAACUAAAGCAGAAAAUUUUCUAUGAAAUUUCAAAAGCUCUACAAACACUUAAUUGUUUAUGACUACAAUAUCAAGUAAUUCAGUUUAGAAAAGCCAAUUGAUGGUAAUGUUGCCAAGCCAUGUGAACAGUGGAAACUGAGCCAAAGCGAUGAAUAGCAAGAGAUAAUGAUGCCGGCUCGAAUCGUAACUCCUCACCUCUGCAAAAAGGACCCUCUUCAUCGUCUUCACCAAGAAAAUUCCCAUACAUAAGCAGGCCCAUGGCAUCAAAAAGUAGUAAGAGUAUUUGAAUAAAAUCUUUCCAAGGACAGCAAAACACAUCCCUGUGAAAGUAUAUCCACCAUAGGCAACAAUGUCCAACAAGGGUGCCUCUGCGCUACUCAAUGAAAGCAUUGUUACUUUAAGCAAUGAAACUUGCAGAAACCAGCCAAGUAAUCCCUUCACAAACAACCAAUUGAGUGCUUCAGCGCUAAACUUUCCAUUAAGUCCUAAUGACAAGCCAGCAAGUACGACGUAUGUACCAAAUGCCAUGAAUGGAAUGUACAAGUCUGGUGCAUUUAUAUCAUAAAUUGGGGGUUUGUAGGAAAGCCUGCCCCCUACUGGCUCAGUUAUCCGAGUCCAGUGUCCCCUGUGCAGGAAUGGAAAUAGAACAACCUUCAAUUUGUUUCUCACAUAUUGGUCAUUCACUUGGAAAUAAUAUUGGGGAUCAGAGAAGUAUCGACUUAUAUUGCUUUGUACAUAUUCAGAGCUUGAUCCUAGAAUUUUCUCUCCAUAUGCACCAAGUCCACCUCUAAUAAGCCCUGAACCAGCACCAGAGAAUGAAUUCCCAAAUGGAUUAGGCUGAGGAUUUGUUGGAGGCAUUGGCGCCCCAGGCUGGACUCCAACAUUGUUAUACAUUUCUUGAAUUAAGGAUAUGAGUGAUACCGAUUCCCGAUGACCAAAUCUGAGUUCCGGCGACGUUGAGGCGAAGUGUGUGCUAAAGAGGGCACAGUUGGAACUGGGAAUCGAAGUAGCCGGUCGGUGAGGGUGAGAGAAUGCCAGUAAGGAAAGGUAAAUGAAUAUUUUGACACGUGAUGUGCACAUGCAACCACAUUGAUUGACUCGCUUUGCAUUGCAUCUCUCAGCCAAUCACAUUAUUAUAAUAAAAUAUUUUUGAAAGACCCUGAAAUUUCCAAUGCGAGUCUCGUGCCUUCCUUCUGCAAGCAUUGCUUGUGAUGACCCGAUCCGAAAAGGUGGUCUGAGAGCGAGAAUAACAAAAGAGAAUAAACUCUUAUUAAACUUCUAGGAUGGCGAGUCUACUCAAGGUAGUGAAAUGCGAAGCACAUAAAUAAAUUGAAUCAUAUAUUGAAAUAGAGAAAAUUGAUUAUUAGAAGCGCGAGAGUUGAAAGAAUUUUGUGCUCACUGAAGAGAAACUUUAGGAUGACCUCCCGAAAAAUUUUCCAUUUAAGCUAUAGGAUAAAAUCGUGAGACUCAGAAUAGGAUAAACCAAAACUGACAACUCCUCUAAUAAUCAGAGCAAGGCGUUACAUUGAUUGUCAUGAGAUGCAAAGUAAAGACGAAGAAGGAGAGAAAUGGAGGUUACAAAAGUGGAGGAAGCACAGGGGAGGUUGGAUUCUUCUCUCUCGCACAUCAAAUGGCGCCUCAUGUGUCCAGCCAAGCGCUAAUCUUCGACUUUUCAAGGUUGUGAUUCAUGAGAUUAUGAUUUUACCCUUUUUU
rnacentral:misc_RNA from 1 species